GCCGGGCGUGGUGGCGAGCGCCUGUAGUCCCAGUUACUCUGGAGGCUGAGGCGGGAGAAUCGCUUGAAUUCAGGAGGCAGAGGUUGCGGUGAGCCGAGAUCGUACCACUGCACUGCAGCCUGGAUGACAAAGCGAGACUCUGUCUCAA
ensembl:misc_RNA Metazoa_SRP Metazoan signal recognition particle RNA